rnacentral:tRNA from 1 species
GAGAGUAUAGCUCAGUGUUAGAGUGUUUGCCUAGCAUGCAUAAGGUCCUGGGUUCAAUCCCCAUGUACCUCCA